UACGUAGGGUGCGAGCGUUGUCCGGAAUUAUUGGGCGUAAAGAGCUCGUAGGCGGUCUGUCGCGUCGAUCGUGAAAACUUGGGGCUUAACCCUGAGCUUGCGGUCGAUACGGGCAUGACUGGAGUUCGGCAGGGGAGACUGGAAUUCCUGGUGUAGCGGUGAAAUGCGCAGAUAUCAGGAGGAACACCGGUGGCGAAGGCGGGUCUCUGGGCCGAUACUGACGUUGAGGAGCGAAAGCGUGGGGAGCGAACAGG
rnacentral:rRNA from 1 species